rnacentral:rRNA from 1 species
UACGUAGGGGGCAAGCGUUGUCCGGAUUUAUUGGGCGUAAAGAGCGUGUAGGCGGUCAGGUAGGUCCGUUGUGAAAACUCGAGGCUCAACCUCGAGACGCCGAUGGAAACCAUCUGACUAGAGUCCGGAAGAGGAGAGUGGAAUUCCUGGUGUAGCGGUGAAAUGCGCAGAUAUCGGGAGGAACACCUGUGGCGAAAGCGGCGCACUGGACCAUAACUGACGCUGAGGCGCGAAAGCUAGGGGAGCAAACAGG